rnacentral:rRNA from 1 species
UGCCAGCCGCCGCGGUAAUACAUAGGGGUCAAGCGUUAUCCAGAAUCAUUGGGUUUAAAGGGUCCGUAGGCGGUCUAAUAAGUCAGAGGUGAAAUCCUACAGCUCAACUGUAGCAUUGCCUUUGAUACUGUUAGACUUGAGUUAUUGUGAAGUAGUUAGAAUGUGUAGUGUAGCGGUGAAAUGCAUAGAUAUCACACAGAAUACCGAUUGCGAAGGCAGAUUACUAACAAUAUACUGACGCUGAGGGACGAAAGCGUGGGUAGCGAACAGGAUUAGAUA